GGCUCGGGGACUGGGGGACAGGGGGGGCCGAGAGGUGCUCCAUGCACUUCAUGGUGACCGUUUGCCCAUUCGGUUGUGACGCCAC
rnacentral:pre_miRNA from 1 species